UACAGAGGUCCCGAGCGUUGUUCGGAUUCACUGGGCGUAAAGGGUGCGUAGGUGGCUGGGAAAGUUUGAUGUGAAAGCUCAGGGCUUAACCCUGAAAUGGCAUUGAUACUAUAGAUCUUGAAUUUUCUGGAGGAUAGCGGAAUAUGUCAUGUAGCGGUGAAAUGCUUAGAUAUGACAUAGAACACCAAUUGCGAAGGCAGCUAUCUACAGGGAUAUUGACACUGAGGCACGAAAGCGUGGGGAUCAAACAGG
rnacentral:rRNA from 1 species